GGGUGUGUGGCUCAGUGGUUAGAGCCUAAGGCUCUGGAGCGAAAGGUCCUGGGUUCGAUUCUCGCAAGAGGUA
rnacentral:tRNA from 1 species